ensembl:lincRNA
AGAAAUUUAUAGUACAUCUCAAUAAUUUGGUCAGGGAAAUUGAAUCAAAUGUCUCAGGAGCUCACCUGUAGUUGUCAGGAGGAGGCAGCCUUUACCUGGCUGAGAGUUCAGCUAGCCUGAUAUCUGGAAACUUGUUUAAAAAGGAGGCUCACUCACUCAUAGGACAAACAUAUGCUAUGCUAAGCCGCUUCAGUCGCAUACAACUCUGUGGAACCCAAAAACGGCAGCCCACCAGGCUCCGCCGUCCCUGGGAUUUUCCAGGCAAGAGUAAUGGAGUGGGGUGCCAUAUAUAACUGAGCAGUAAAGAAGCCGCCUGCUAACGCAGGUGACGCGGUUGGAUCCCUGGGUCUGCAAGACACACUGGAGAAUGAAAUGGCAACCCACUCCAGCAUUCUUGCCUGGAAAACCCCAUGGACAGAGGACCCUGCUAGGCUACUGCCCAUGGGGUCAUAAAGACUCAAACACGACUUAAGAAACUGAGCACGCACGAACCUGAGUCCCAUCUAUUGCUCUGUCCACUGGCAAACAGAAUUCUACACAGAGCACACUGGAAUCGUGACAGGGAGCACACAGCUCAAAGGUCGCAACUCCUCUGUGACAGUGAAUGACAGUAUAUACCAUCAGUCUCCAAGGUUGGGGUCAUGUAAAAAUGUGGUUCCUUCUGAACUGGAGAAAAUGAAAUAGUUCAGAGGAAAUAUGGAUCAGGAAUUAAUCCCCAGGGUGUGCAGCCACCAGCAAGGAAUACAUAAAAUGGCUGUUUCCAGGAAAGCAAAAGCUCAUAAUGAGAUCCUGUCCCUGAGUUACUGACUGGCUGGGUAUGGCAAAUCUGGCCUAAUUAUUUUCACAAUGGGAAUUUAAUUGAAGUGUCUUUGAUGAGAAAAAAAAGAUUCCAUGGAUACGCUUGUGAUGACAUCUCAGUUCUAACUGAGAUGCUUGUGACAUUCUGUAACCAACACAGAGGGGUGGCCCAAGGGACAAGCAGAGUCUGAGGGUCAGGUUGCCUGCCCACGCCCUCCUAACCCCCUGGGCCCAACACUGCUGCAGAGACUGUCCUGCAUUCCACCACGAGGACACGUGGUCCCCUCAAAGUCUUACCAAAUCCACCAACAAAACCGUGCUUCCUCAGGGCCCCAGUUCAACUUACAGGGUUCUCAGACAUGGAUGAGGCAUGUGGCUCCUUCAGUCAGAUGGCUUGGAUUCAUAUCUCCUCUCUAUCACAGAAUGCGACUCGUCCACAUAGGUGGAUAUCCAGUUGUGCAAGAAUACUCUGUCCACAUCGAAUUAUCCUGGCAUAUAGCUCUUCAAAAUCUACCUGAAGCUUGAUUGUGACAGUGGUUACACAACUGUAUACGUGUGUGUUUGCUAAAACUCAUUGAACUGUAUGCUAAGAACUUUAUUGUUUGUAAAUAAUAAUUCAAUAAACCUGACAAUUAAAAAUUCUCCUUUAACAUAAUACUGUAUGUCAACUAUAUUUCAAUAAAGAAAUCAAUUUUCCUUCAGAGAAACAUUCACAUAUAGCAUAUUCAAGGAU